CAUCCCACCAAAAAUGUGAAUUUGGCCCCAUUUAUGCAGUGGAGAAGUGCUUAUUUCUGCUUGCAAAUUGUAAGUAGCUUCACUCUGUUUCAAUAGUCUUCUAGUCGGUCUAUUUAUCUAGUUUAAGUUUUAUGUAUUGAUAGGUGUAAAAAAAAUAUUUAUAAAAUCAAAUCCAAGAUAUAAACUUAAUAGAUUCAACUUUUUUUAAUUCUUUGUACGUUUGAAAUUAUGAGUUUAGCAUUUGAUAUCUAUUAAUUUUUUUGGCUAAAAUAUUUAUUAAUAAUUAAGUAGUUUUUCACAUGUACACAUGUACAAUUAUAACAAUAAAGUCACAAACUAUUUUGUCGCGUAAAGUAACUCAACUAUGCCUACUAUAAUAGUAAAGUCGUUAUAAAUUUUUACACAUUGUAACACUAAAGUCAGCUUGAUGGUAAUUGGUAGGUUGAUGUUUAAAAAAUAAAAUUGUGACUUUACAGUUAUGGUGAUCAAAGUUCAAUGAUCAACAACAACAACGACGACGACCCAGUAUAAUCUCACAAGUGGGGUCUGGGGAGGGUAAUAUGUACGCAGACCUUACCCCUACCCCGAAGGGUAGAGAGGCUGUUUCCAGGAGACCCUCGGCUCAAAAAAAGCAACAGGAGCCGAUAUAUUAGUACCAUAAAAAUGCAUAAUAAAAUAACAGCAAUAUAAGAGAUAUGAAAUACAGAAUACGAAAUACGAAAUAAAUGGUUGGUAUAGUAAAAACUAGCAGGUAAAGCCCUGCAUCAAUAGACGACCAAUGAUUAGUCUAACUCCUAACUGGCUAGUCUCACUCUAUUGUGCUGUAGAAAUAUUCACAACUUUCCCCUAACCUACAACCUUAAUGUUUGACCUCCAUAAUUCCCUGUCAAGGGCCAUGUCCUCAGUAAUCCUAAGUCGCGCCUUGUCAUGUCUGAUUUCCUCUCCCCAAUACUUCUUAGGUUGCCCUCUACCUCUCCGCGUGCCCACUACAGCCAGUCGCUCACAUCUCCUCACCGGUGCAUCAGUGCUCCUCCUCUGAAUGUGCCCGAACCAUCUGAGCCUUACUUCCCGCAUCUUGUCCUCCAUGGGGGCCACGUUCACCUCCUCUCGAUGAUCAUACGUAAAAUUUACCUUUUCUUCGUCUUGCUUGGAACAAAAAAAAAAAAACAAUCCGGUACACAAAGCAUCUCGCGUUUACGCAGGGUUCAGGAAAAAACCGCAUUCCAAAGGAUGUGAUAUAGGCAGUCUACUAUAAUGCAAGCAUUAGUGGCUGCUUUCACGGCUCGACAUACAUCUGUUUUGCUUGAAUUUCGUGUAAAAUCAUUCAUGUGUUUUUGUGCUGCAACGCAGACAUCUCCAGUUUGUUCAAAGGAUCACACACUCACAUUAUCUGGAUGGCUAAAUGUGACAAAUGAAGAAGGAAAAAAAUUCUGUGAAAAAGGAGGGUGCGCAGAACAUACAAAAGUUGUACUCGACUGCAUUCAUCAUGUCAAACGUGAUUUUUGGUUUGCAAAUAAAGCUACUGUUCAACAUAUCUAUGACACCAUUGACAUUGGUUGCUACACCCCACAAGGUUUUUCUUUCUUAUUUUUCGAGUUUUAACUUCCAUGCACUGAAGGUAUAAAGGAACUUUUACGCUAUUUGUUAGGAAAAAUCAGCCGAAAGAUACUUUUAAUAUGGUGUAAUAUUGUCCACUUUAAAGCCAAAAUCCUUACAACUUAUAAGCAGACUCCCAAUCUUUUAUGCUACCAAUGUGGGACUUUGUUCCCGCACCCAAUACUAUUAUUACACUACUUAUAAGAGAACUGCCUAUUAUAGACGAUACUAGUUACAUAGAAAAUAAAAUAGAGUAACUAAUCUGUUAUAACUAGUUAAAUUAUGCUAAUAAUCUUAAAAAGUUACUUAGCCGAGGGUUUUUGGAAAUAUCCUCUCUGCUCUUCCAAGAUAAGGGUAAGACUUCGUACAUCUUACCCUCCCCAUGCCCUACUUGUGAAAAUUAUUUGUUAUUGUUAUUGUUGUCAUCUGAGAAAAUUAUUUAUGCUAUCAGUGUAUAUAAGUAUUUCUUUUUGAUUUAUAUGUUGAACUUGUAUGCAUAUAAAGUGUAAAAUUUUAUAUUACUAGGUCACUUAGUUAAAAGAUACUAACCAGUAACUACUCAUAGUAAGUGGAACUAGUUGUAAGGAAAAUAAGGCAAAUUACAACAUACUAAAUUACGUUGAUAGUAGAGGUGUGGCAAAAUGGUUAAAAGAAAACAGUUAUUCACUCAUAUUAUCCAUUAAAAAUGGGUUGGAUAAUGAUUUUUUUAAGAACGGGUCGAAUAUGGAUAAGAACCCAUACUAUUCACUUAGAAAAUGGUGAACCAAAUGGAUAAUCAAUGGAUAACUAAUGUGUUUAACAUUUACAUUUGUAAAGCCUCAAAUUGGGGUUCCUCAAGUUUGGGAAAUUAGAAAUUCUCCCAUAAGUAAUCAAGAAGCCAUAGAUAAUAUGGAUAUCCAUAUUAUCCGCCGGAUAACCCAUUUUUUAUCCGUCUCAAAUAUGGAUCGGGUCAGAUAAUUUAUCCUUUUUUGAAAUUAUCAGUUUUCAACCCGCUCAUAUCCGACUCGACCCGCCCAUUUGUCAUCCCUAGUUGGUAGUGUGAUAUUUACAUUGUCAGAUUAAAUCCUUUUUUGACUUCCCUUGUAUUCCUAUUAUAUUCUCUAUGAAUCCAUGAUUUGGUUAAUGUCAAUUGCAGGUUUUAAUGGAACAAGCUUGUACCCCCACUAAGGGUUGAAAUCAGCCUCAGGUUCUGCACUCUACAGAAUCCUUUUUGCUUUGGUGUGUGAUGUUUUGUUGGAGACCUAAAAGAUUGUGUACCUAAUAGAAAUAAAAGGCAACAAAUAUGUAUAGUCAUCACCAUUAUGUACUUUUUUUCCUUUGGGAAACAAUUUGCACUGGCU
rnacentral:lncRNA from 1 species